rnacentral:lncRNA from 1 species
GAGGCUUGGCAGAGCAGGAGCCCUCGGUGGCAGUGCUUGGGUGUCGAGGCUCUGAGGCUCCGGCCUCACCUCUCCACGGGGUCGAAGGGAACGUCUCCGGAUGCCAGGAGUCGCAAAGGGCCGACCAUGAUGAUGAAACCCCAGGCAGAGACGGGGGAAGCAGCACGGGAUCCCAGCCUCAGGCCUGCACGGACGGUGUUGGUUGGGAGACGAGGUCUCACUAUAUUGACCAGGCUGGUCUUGAACUCCUGGCCUUAAGCGAUCCUCCUGCCUUGGCCUCCCAAAGUGCUGGAGUUACAGAUGUGAGCCUCUGUGCUCAGUCCAUCCUUGGCUGUUCAAGUGUAGAGCCUGAAGAGCUUCCUUUAGGAUUUCUUGUGAGACAAGUCAGCUUUUAUUUGUCUGGAAAAGUCUUUAUCUCACUUUUAUUUGUGAAGAACUGCUUUGGCAGAGAGUUCUCCCAGUCUCCUGGAUCACACUGGUCGGAAAGCUGUUUGGUAGACAACCUUCGAGUCUUUCUGCCUUCAUACUGUGGGUAUACCGUUCUCCCAACUGAAAACCCGUUUAUUUUCUUAUCUGUCUACUCAAAGCCUAACCAACACCAAAUGGCCUAGAAAUGCCACGUACCUACCAGUUGCCUCUUUCCUCCUCCAGCCCUUGUGAAUGUGAAUUCACAUCUCUGUUCUCUGUGUUCCUUGGCCACUUAGUACCAUUCACAAUAUCUCUCAUAGCUAGCUCUCUGCCUUAGGGCUGGCCCAUGGGACUAAAAUUCCUUGUGGUAGGUAUUUUUUUUUCAUAUUUCUAUUCUUAUAGCAUCUAGCAUAGAACAAACAGCCUAGUAUCUAGUGGGUAUCCAAUAACAACUUAUGCAGGUGAUUAGGCAAGAAAAAGAAAUAAAGCCUAUUCAAAUUGGAAAGGUGGAAGUCAAAUUGUCCCUAUUUGCUGGCAACAUAAUCUUAUAUAUAGAAGAACUUAAACACUCUGCCAAAAAUCCAUUAGAUGUGAUAAACAAUUCAGUAAGGUUGUAUUGUAUGUAUCAAAACAUCCCUAUGUAACCCAUAGAGAUGUAUAAUUAUUUUAUGUUGAUCAAAAAUAAAAUAAUAAAAGCUCUUAAUAAAACAGUCAUCUCUUUCAGAAUUCAUGGUUACCAUUGCCUCUAGUAUUAUUUGUCAAUUAAAAAAUAAAAUUUAAAAAGAA